rnacentral:misc_RNA from 1 species
AUCAAUGAAUUAACUAAUUAAUCAAUAGUUUAAUUAAACUCCUUCUACCGUCCUAUUGAUUAUGGGCAAAUAGGAAACAUAUCAAAACCAAAAACCAAACCAUGGGCUCCAAUACAUAAUUGGUGCUGAAAUUUGAAUGCCCUUUCGGCUCCAUACCCGCCAGCAAAAAACGAUAGAGAGGAUAUCAACGUCAUUACAAAAAGGACACUAGGGUAAAACUGAAACAAA